rnacentral:rRNA from 1 species
AUUGAACGCUGGCGGCAGGCCUAACACAUGCAAGUCGAGCGGGAACUUCGGUCCUAGCGGCGGACGGGUGAGUAAUGCGUAGGAAGCUACCCGACAGAGGGGGAUACCAGUUGGAAACGACUGUUAAUACCGCAUAAUGUCUACGGACCAAUGUGUGGGACCUUCGGGCCACAUGCUGUCGGAUGCGCCUACGUGGGAUUAGCUAGUUGGUGAGGUAAUGGCUCACCAAGGUGACGAUCCCUAGCUGGUUUGAGAGGAUGAUCAGCCACACUGGAACUGAUACACGGUCCAGACUCCUACGGGAGGCAGCAGUGGGGAAUAUUGGACAAUGGGCGAAAGCCUGACCCAGCCAUGCCGCGUGUGUGAAGAAGGCCUUCGGGUUGUAAAGCACUUUCAGUAUGGAGGAAGAGUUGAGUGUUAAUAGUACUCAGCUUUGACGUUACCUACAGAAGAAGCACCGGCUAACUCUGUGCCAGCCGCCGCCGUAACAC